rnacentral:rRNA from 1 species
GAUGAACGCUGGCGGCGUGCCUAAUACAUGCAAGUCGAGCGAACAGAUGAGGAGCUUGCUCCUCUGACGUUAGCGGCGGACGGGUGAGUAACACGUGGAUAACCUACCUAUAAGACUGGGAUAACUUCGGGAAACCGGAGCUAAUACCGGAUAAUAUAUUGAACCGCAUGGUUCAAUAGUGAAAGACGGUUUUGCUGUCACUUAUAGAUGGAUCCGCGCCGCAUUAGCUAGUUGGUAAGGUAACGGCUUACCAAGGCGACGAUGCGUAGCCGACCUGAGAGGGUGAUCGGCCACACUGGAACUGAGACACGGUCCAGACUCCUACGGGAGGAAGCAGUAGGGAAUCUUCCGCAAUGGGCGAAAGCCUGACGGAGCAACGCCGCGUGAGUGAUGAAGGUCUUCGGAUCGUAAAACUCUGUUAUUGGGGAAGAACAAAUGUGUAAGUAACUAUGCACGUCUUGACGGUACCUAAUCAGAAAGCCACGGCUAACUACGUG